UCUGAUUUUAUUUCUUUUAUUUCCCCAGAUAGGGAUUCUCUAGUAUCUUCUAUGCUUUUUUCAAGCCCAGUUAUUAUCUUUAUAAUCGUCAUUCUUAACUCUAGUUCUGACAUCUUACUAAUGUCUAUAUAAUUAGGUCAUUAG